GAACGCUGGCGGCGUGCUUAACACAUGCAAGUCGAACGAACCUUCGGGUUAGUGGCGGACGGGUGAGUAACGCGUGAGAAUCUGCCCUCAGGAGGGGGAUAACGGCUGGAAACGGCCGCUAAUACCCCAUAUGCCGAGAGGUGAAAUGAAUUUCGCCUGAGGAUGAGCUCGCGUCUGAUUAGCUUGUUGGUGGGGUAAUGGCCUACCAAGGCGACGAUCAGUAGCUGGUCUGAGAGGAUGAUCAGCCACACUGGGACUGAGACACGGCCCAGACUCCUACGGGAGGCAGCAGUGGGGAAUUUUCCGCAAUGGGCGAAAGCCUGACGGAGCAACGCCGCGUGAGGGAUGAAGGCCUCUGGGCUGUAAACCUCUUUUAUCAAGGAAGAAGAUCUGACGGUACUUGAUGAAUAAGCCACGGCUAAUUCCGUGCCAGCAGCCGCGGUAAU
rnacentral:rRNA from 1 species